UGAGACCGGCGCACGGGUGCGUAACGCGUAUACAAUCUACCUUUUACAGAGGGAUAGCCCAGAGAAAUUUGGAUUAAUACCUCAUAGUAUUUUCGGAUCGCAUGAUUUGAUUAUUAAAGUUCCAACGGUAAAAGAUGAGUAUGCGUCCCAUUAGCUAGAUGGUAAGGUAACGGCUUACCAUGGCAACGAUGGGUAGGGGUCCUGAGAGGGAGAUCCCCCACACUGGUACUGAGACACGGACCAGACUCCUACGGGAGGCAGCAGUGAGGAAUAUUGGACAAUGGGCGCAAGCCUGAUCCAGCCAUGCCGCGUGCAGGAAGACGGUCCUAUGGAUUGUAAACUGCUUUUAUACAGGAAGAAACACUCGGACGUGUCCGAACUUGACGGUACUGUAUGAAUAAGCAUCGGCUAACUCCGUGCCAGCAGCCGCGGUAAUACGGAGGAUGCAAGCGUUAUCCGGAAUCAUUGGGUUUAAAGGGUCCGUAGGCGGUCAUAUAAGUCAGUGGUGAAAGCCCAUCGCUCAACGAUGGAACGGCCAUUGAUACUGUUUGACUUGAAUUAUUAGGAAGUAACUAGAAUAUGUAGUGUAGCGGUGAAAUGCUUAGAGAUUACAUGGAAUACCAAUUGCGAAGGCAGGUUACUACUAAUAUAUUGACGCUGAUGGACGAAAGCGUGGGGAGCGAACAGGAUUAGAUACCCUGGUAGUCCACGCCGUAAACGAUGGAUACUAGCUGUUCGGAGCAAUCUGAGUGGCUA
rnacentral:rRNA from 1 species